UACAGAGGGUGCGAGCGUUAAUCGGAAUUACUGGGCGUAAAGCGUGCGUAGACGGUUAUCUAAGUCGGAUGUGAAAGCCCCGGGCUCAACCUGGGAAUUGCAUUCGAGACUGAAUAGCUAGGGUACGGUAGAGGGAAGUGGAAUUUCCGGUGUAGCGGUGAAAUGCGUAGAUAUCGAGAGGAACACCUGCGGCGAAGGCGGGUUGCUGGGCUGACACUGACGCUGAUGCGCGAAAGCCAGGGGAGCGAACGGG
rnacentral:rRNA from 1 species